CAGCUCGUCGAUCCUCCGCUUCUGCUUCUCCAGCAGCUCCUGCUGCGUCUCGAUGAUCUUGUUCAGCUCCUUCAGUCCUUCAAGAAAAGAGCAAUGCCCAUUAUAUUUUAAUUGAAAAUACCAGUGAAGACUGCAAGCCCAUGAACAUAUGCUACUGAUUCAAAUUAAGGAAAGAGAAAUUCAGGAAGCCCAGAGCUCAAAAUUGUCUUUGACAGGAGAAACCAUGUGUCCUGGACAGGAACAGUUGACAUGCAAGCUCCUCAGGCAAGAACCACUUCUUUCUUUGGUCCUUUCAGCACUGUCAAUGCUUAAUAAAUAAUAAAUCACCAAGGGGCUGUAUGUGCAGGAACGGAGAUGGGAGAGACUGGGAAGGAACAUUUCUAUCUGUUUUGGAAGAGGACACAUCUGUAAUGUACUUAUACAGUAAAGGGAAUGCUGUUCAGAGGAUCACACCUAGAAAUAAAUGU